UGAGGAAAGUGAAAAGGAAAUGCAUGCAGAGACUCUAUCAAGGAGUGAGGAAUCAGAUAAAGAAAUGCAAGCAGAUGCUCCAACGAAGAGUGAGGAAUCUGUAAAAGAAAUGCAAACAAAGACUCAUGCAAGGAGUGAAGAAUCUGAGAAAAAAAUACAAGCAGAGGCUCAAGCAAGGAGUGAAGAACCUGAGAAAAAAAUGCAAGCAGAAGCUCAAGCAAAAAGUGAGGAAUCUGAAAAAGAAACGCAAACAAAAGAUCAAGCACAAAAUGAAGAACCAGAGAAAGAAAUGCAAGCAAAGGCUCACAUUGAAAAUGAGGAAUCCGAG
rnacentral:lncRNA from 1 species